ensembl:lncRNA
CUCUGGAAGCAGAAGACUUUUUUCCUCUGUGUUGGGGCUGCAACGUGAGAUUUCUUCAUAUGGGGAAAAUAAAACAACCGGAAGAUCUCAGGCUCCUCCUGGCUGCAAAGACUCCAGUGGAAAUAUUGCUUGGGUUCAUAACCCUCCGAGGGCCCCAAAUCUUGUAGAAACCCAUGCAACUCUGAUGCACCCUUGCAGCAAUGCUAGUCAGGGGGUAAGGGAUGAGUCUGUGCAUAUCUUGGCUUUCUGCAAUGUGAAGGAUCAGGAUCUCCUUUCUCGUCUUCGAAUACUUGCUGGUUUCUAAGCAUGCUACUCCCAACUUACACCAGUUUUGCUGGGAAGAGCACUGGUGUUUCAUUCUGGAAGACAUCUUCAAAGGGGAAUGCACACUUCACAAACUUGAUUUUGAAGUCUUUCAGGAAGGCUUUGCAAACAAAAGCUCACAUUCCAGAGUAAGUAGAAAGUCCUCGGUUCCUGGUGGUGA